UUGUCCAAUGAUGAUCAAACUAAAUACUUUUGUUCUUCUGAUGUGCCAUCUGAUGGCUCGGUGCCGAAGCAAUUUGGAGACCUGAACUGCGGAUAU
rfam:Triticum urartu cultivar G1812 contig592544, whole genome shotgun sequence.